CAAAGAGUAGCUUAAAACAAAGCACUCAGCUUACAACUGAGAAACGUUAUUUAUUAUAACCUCUUUGU
rnacentral:tRNA from 1 species